GGCCUCGCGCCGUGGGACGGCGUCGCUCCCCGCCGGCUGCCGUUAGGGCUGGGAGCCGGCUGGGCGCGGGGGCCGUGAGGGCGCCUCUCGCCGUGGCUGCGCGGCGGCCUCGUCCGAGAGGCCGGCGCCGGGGCAGUGAAUGGCCCGUGCCCAGCCGCCGCGCAGGGCGCCCGGGGCAGCUGGCCGAGCCCUCGAUGCCUCCCGUCUGACGGAGGCGCCCGGGAAGCGCCGCCCACCUCGGCCCCGCACCCUCGCUGGCCUGCCGGGUCUCCGCCAGCCCUAGCAGACAGAGAGGGGCGCCGGUCCCUGGUCCCCCAGACCUCCAUUCAAGGUCAAAACUUUGCCCAGCUCAGCCUUGCUCGACCCUGGGCAGGGAAGCGCGGACAUCGGCAGAGGGAGCCCGAGGCUCUCCGUGCCCCUCGCGCCGGUCAAGAACUGUGGAAUCUUUCAGAUGAUAUUCUGAUACUUCUGGACAAAGAUUGAAUUUGUUCUUCAUGAAAAAUGUCUGGGACCUUUUAUGUGGGAGGAGCCAAGAUGGCCGAAUAGGAACAGCUCCGGUCUACAGCUCCCAGCGUGAGCCACGCAGAAGACGGGUGAUUUCUGCAUUUCCAUCUGAGAAAUUGGAACCCUGGUUCAAGCUCUUGUCAGCCUACUUCCCAGUUAUACAUUCAGAAU